rnacentral:rRNA from 1 species
AUUGAACGCUGGCGGAAUGCUUUACACAUGCAAGUCGAACGGCAGCACGGGGGCAACCCUGGUGGCGAGUGGCGAACGGGUGAGUAAUACAUCGGAACGUGCCCGGUCGUGGGGGAUAACGUGGCGAAAGUUACGCUAAUACCGCAUACGAUCUGAGGAUGAAAGCGGGGGACCUUCGGGCCUCGCGCGAUCGGAGCGGCCGAUGUCAGAUUAGGUAGUUGGUGGGGUAAAGGCCUACCAAGCCGACGAUCUGUAGCUGGUCUGAGAGGACGACCAGCCACACUGGGACUGAGACACGGCCCAGACUCCUACGGGAGGCAGCAGUGGGGAAUUUUGGACAAUGGGCGCAAGCCUGAUCCAGCCAUUCCGCGUGCAGGACGAAGGCCUUCGGGUUGUAAACUGCUUUUGUAUGGAACGAAAAGGCUCUGGCUAAUACCUGGGGCUCAUGACGGUACCGUAAGAAUAAGCACCGGCUAACUACGUG